CUGCACACACACCCCUCCAAAAAAGCCAUGGCCAAAACCUGCACCGUCCAAGUCAGCAACGAGACGCGUAAAAAGAUGAAAGAUUUCAGAGACUCCCUUUUUAAAGAGGCAGAAGAGUUUCUCUCCACCUUUUUACCUGCCAAGAUAUGUCAACUGGAUCAGCUUUUGAAGGUAAGA